UACAGAGGUGGCAAGCGUUGUUCGGAAUUACUGGGCGUAAAGGGCGCGUAGGCGGUCUUCUAAGUCUUGUGUGAAAUCCCUCGGCUCAACUGAGGAACUGCACGGGAUACUGGAAGACUUGAGUUCGGGAGAGGGAAGCGGAAUUCCGGGUGUAGCGGUGAAAUGCGUAGAUAUCUGGAGGAAUACCGGUGGCGAAGGCGGCAUCCUGGACCGGCAUUGACGCUGAUGAGCGAAAGCUAGGGGAGCAAACGGG
rnacentral:rRNA from 1 species